rnacentral:rRNA from 1 species
AACGAACGCUGGCGGCAUGCCUAACACAUGCAAGUCGAACGAGACCUUCGGGUCUAGUGGCGCACGGGUGCGUAACGCGUGGGAACCUGCCCUUAGGUUCGGAAUAACUCCCCGAAAGGGGUGCUAAUACCGGAUAAUGUCUUCGGACCAAAGAUUUAUCGCCUUUGGAUGGGCCCGCGUUGGAUUAGCUAGUUGGUAGGGUAAAAGCCUACCAAGGCGACGAUCCAUAGCUGGUCUGAGAGGAUGAUCAGCCACACUGGGACUGAGACACGGCCCAGACUCCUACGGGAGGCAGCAGUGGGGAAUAUUGGACAAUGGGCGAAAGCCUGAUCCAGCAAGGCCGCGUGAGUGAUGAAGGCCUUAGGGUUGUAAAGCUCUUUUACCCGGGAGGAUAAUGACAGUACCGGGAGAAUAAGCUCCGGCUAACUCCGUG